ensembl:lncRNA
CACACACACACACACACACACACACACACACAGUGUUAGUAACAGAGGCUGUGUCAGUGUGUGUUUAACCACAAGCUUUAAUAUGAGAUUGAUGACACACAAGAAUAACAAGCUGAGACAGCAAACUCAUUAGUUUGCAGAGACAUGCAGCUGACGCCUACAGCGUGCACACACACACACUCUCCCCAUCCAAAGACUCACACUUGCACACACACACUCAUACAGACACACACACACACACUCACACACACACAAAUAUAGUACAUGUUAGUAGGGCCUGUGAACUCAGAGCUUUAGGUGCGGCCUGUGCUUCUCUCUUGUGUCCAUGAUAUUUUAUGUAUGUGUGUGUGUGUGUCUGUUUGUGUGUGUGUGUGUCUGUAUGAGUGUGUGUGUCUGUUUGUGUGUGUGUGUGUGUGUGUCUGUAUGAGUGUGUGUGUUUGUGUCCUCUGUGAGCUAGACUUCAUAUACAUUUGUAAUAGGUGGCUGUUCCAGAUUCGUGUUUGUGCCAUCUUGUCGUGUUGCGCAUGUGUGUUUGUGUGUGUGUGUGUUUGUGCGUGUGUGCCACCUCAUCGUGUUGCGCAUGUGUGUGUUGUGUGUGUGUGUGUGUGUUGCGCAUGUGUGUGUGUGUGUAUGUAUGUGUGUUGUGUGUGUGUGUGUGUGGGGGUACACCCUGAUGAGAUUUUAUUAUUCCUGCUCAAAGCAACUUCAGCUACUCUGCUCUCUAGUCUAGGAGACAAAAAGUAAUAUUAAUUAUAGUAAAGAUAACACAGGAAACACACAAACACACACACACACACACACACACACACACACACACACACACACACACACACACACACACACACACUGCUCUCUAGCCUAGGAGACAUGUAGUAAAGUUAACACAGGAAUCACACACACACUCACACACACACACACACACACACACACACACACACACACACACACACACACACACAGUCAAAUAGCAAUCUACAUGAAUCACAGUGACAUCGUGGCCUAAUCCACCAGCUGGAUGAUACUAACAGUGGGCUGAGACAGAGACUUUGAGCUUUUGGUUUUUGUUAGUGUGUGAGUCUGUGUGUGUGAGUGUGUGUGUGUGUGUGUGUGUGUGUGUCUCAUCCAUCUCAGGGCAGUUCUCAUCAGACACACCUGUGUGAGUGUAUGUGUGUGUGUGUGUGUGUGUUCACAGGUUUGUGCUUUUGUGUGUGCAUGUGUACAUGUCUCUCUGUGUGUUUGUGUGCACAUGCACAUGUCAUACCCUAGCAGCUUGAUGUCAGGGUGUGUGUGUGUGAGUGUGUGUGUGUGUGUGUGUGUGUGUGUGUGUGUUCACAAGUUUGUGCUUUUGUGUGUGCAUGUGUACAUGUCUCUCUGUGUGUUUGUGUGCUGUGCACAUGCACAUAUCAUACCCUAGCAGCUUGAUGUCAGGGUGUGUGUGUGUGUGUGUGUGUGUGUGUGUGUGUGUGUGUGUGUGUGUGUGUGAGUGUGUGUGUGUGUGUGUGUGCAGUGUGAGACUCAUUGUCUCCCUCAGAACUUGUCUCACUCUCGAUGAAUGACUGUUUCAUCUGUGUGCUUUUUGAGUGACAGUACCAUGGCCGGGCCUGUAGAUGGCGCUAGAUGGCCUAGUGGUGAGAGUGAUAGAUGUGCUCUUAUCAUUGAGUGUGUUUCUCUUCUUCUCUCUUCCUCUGAGUGUCUCUAAUGGGUAGGAAGAGGGCACUUUCUUCCUGGAACUCCUGGAUAUAAUGUGUGCGUGUGUGUGUGUGUGUGUGUGUGUGUGUGUGUGUGUGUGUGUGUGGGGUUAUGCUAAAUAAUGUCAAGCUAUGCUUUUAAAAGACAAACCUUGAGACUAGCACUAGUGUUCAUUUUAAACAGUCUAUCUUAACAGUUCAUUUCCAACACUAAUGAUAAAACGUCUAUUUACAUGAAAUGUUUGAUAUGUUUGUGCCAUUUUGAGUGUGAUUAUAGUAAAGUGUGUGUGUAUAUGUGUGUGUGUGGAAUGUGUGUGGACAUGUUUAAGGUCACUUUAAUGGGUCUAUGAAAAAAUGGUGGGUUUGGCCAAAUAUUGCCGCAGAAUCUCUCUCUCUCUCUCUCUUUCACACACAAGCACACACAUGCAAACACUCACUCACUCCUUCUCUCUAUCCCUCUAUCCCCCUCUCUCUCCUCUCUCUCUCUCUCAGGUGUUCUUCUUGGCCAUGCUGGAGUGUUCUCUCUCCCCCUCUCUCUCUCUCUCUCUAUCCCCCUAUCCCUCUCUCUCUCAGGUGUUCCUCUUGGCCAUGCUGGAGUUCUCUCUCUCUCUCCCUCUCUCCCUCCCUCUCCCUCCCUCUCUCUCCCUCUCUCUC